GAUGAACGCUAGCGGCAGGCUUAAUACAUGCAAGUUGAGGGGCAGCAUGAUAUACGCGAGUAUAUUGAUGGCGACCGGCGGACGGGUGAGUAAUAGGUAGGAGACCUACCUCAUACAGGGGGAUAGCAUAGAGAAAUCUGUGGUAAUACCCCAUGAGGUUAUAUGAAUAGAGGCAUAUAAUCAAAGCAUAAGCGAUUAUGCGGUAUGAGAGGGGCCUACUGACCAUUAGCUAGUUGGUGAGGUAAGGGCUCACCAAGGCGAAGAUGGUUAGGGGUUUUGAGAGAGAGACCCCCCACAUUGGAACUGAGAGACGGUCCAGACUCCUACGGGAGGCAGCAGUAGGGAAUAUUGGGCAACGGGCGAAAGCCUGACCCAGCCAUGCCGCGUGAAGGAAGACGGCCUUAUGGGUUGUAAACUUCUUUACUACGCGAAUAGAGGUUAGUACGAGAUACUAAUAGGAAGGUAGUGUAGUAAAAGCACGGCUAACUCCGUGCC
rnacentral:rRNA from 1 species